rnacentral:rRNA from 1 species
ACCGCUACUCUAUGGCGGCGUGCUUAAAUGACAUUCAACGGAAAAGAGACCCUUCGGGGGUACUCUCAGUGGCGAAGGGGUGAGUAAACGUGGGUGAUCUGCCCUGCACUCUGGGAUAAUUUUGCCCAAACUGGGUCUAAUACCGGAUAUGACUCCUGUCCAUGGGGGGGUUGGAAAGGUUUACUGGGCAGAUGGGCCCCGCCUAUCCUUGUUGGGGGGUAAGGCCUACCAGACAAAGACGUAAA